rnacentral:rRNA from 1 species
CCGUAACUAUAACGGUCCUAAGGUAGCGAAAUUCCUUGUCGGGUAAGUUCCGACCUGCACGAAUGGCGUAAUGAUGGCCAGGCUGUCUCCACCCGAGACUCAGUGAAAUUGAACUCGCUGUGAAGAUGCAGUGUACCCGCGGCAAGACGGAAAGACCCCGUGAACCUUUACUAUAGCUUGACACUGAACAUUGAGCCUUGAUGUGUAGGAUAGGUGGGAGGCUUUGAAGUGUGGACGCCAGUCUGCAUGGAGCCGACCUUGAAAUACCACCCUUUAAUGUUUGAUGUUCUAACGUUGGCCCCUAAUCGGGGUUGCGGACAGUGUCUGGUGGGUAGUUUGACUGGGGCGGUCUCCUCCUAAAGAGUAACGGAGGAGCACGAAGGUUGGCUAAUCCUGGUCGGACAUCAGGAGGUUAGUGCAAUGGCAUAAGCCAGCUUGACUGCGAGCGUGACGGCGCGAGCAGGUGCGAAAGCAGGUCAUAGUGAUCCGGUGGUUCUGAAUGGAAGGGCCAUCGCUCAACGGAUAAAAGGUACUCCGGGGAUAACAGGCUGAUACCGCCCAAGAGUUCAUAUCGACGGCGGUGUUUGGCACCUCGAUGUCGGCUCAUCACAUCCUGGGGCUGAAGUAGGUCCCAAGGGUAUGGCUGUUCGCCAUUUAAAGUGGUACGCGAGCUGGGUUUAGAACGUCGUGAGACAGUUCGGUCCCUAUCUGCCGUGGGCGCUGGAGAACUGAGGGGGGCUGCUCCUAGUACGAGAGGACCGGAGUGGACGCAUCACUGGUGUUCGGGUUGUCAUGCCAAUGGCACUGCCCGGUAGCUAAAUGCGGAAGAGAUAAGUGCUGAAAGCAUCUAAGCACGAAACUUGCCCCGAGAUGAGUUCUCCCUGACUCCUUGAGAGUCCUGAAGGAACGUUGAAGACGACGACGUUGAUAGGCCGGGUGUGUAAGCGCAGCGAUGCGUUGAGCUAACCGGUACUAAUGAACCGUGAGGCUUAACCUU